UGGGGGGAGAAGAAGAAAGUCGGUGAAGAGCCGACCCUGACGGUAUCCCCUUAGCAAGCACCGGCUAACUCCGUGCCAGCAGCCGCGGUAAUACGGAGGGUGCAAAUGUUGCUCGGAAUCAUUGGGCGUAAAGCGCGCGUAGGCGGCUGAACAAGUUGGAUGUGAAAGCCCUGGGCUCAACCUAGGAUGUGCAUUCAAAACUGUUCGGCUUGAGUCUCGGAGGGGGUCAGAGAAUUCUCGGUGUAGAGGUGAAAUUCGUAGAUAUCGGGAGGAACACCAGUGGCGAAGGCGCUGACCUGGACGAUGACUGACGCUGAGGCGCGAAAGCGUGGGGAGCAAACAGGAUUAGAUACCCUGGUAGUCCACGCCGUAAACGAUGAGUGCUAGACGCUGGCGGAUUGACCCCGUCGGUGUCGAAGCUAACGCGUUAAGCACUCCGCCUGGGGAGUACGGUCGCAAGACUAAAACUCAAAGGAAUUGACGGGG
rnacentral:rRNA from 1 species